UUUCCUUUCUUCUUUGUUCUUCUUCCGGCAGUGAAAGGGAGCCGAAAUAGAUUUUUACCUCCCCAAUCACCCUGUCAUUCUUCCGUUCCUUAGAAAGAAGAAGAAGAAGAAGAAGAACUCAGCUAGCUGCAUUCAAUUAGAACCGAGUCAUGAAGCAAGAGACCCCGACGAAAACCCAAGGCAGGCCAAGCUUCUCUCGCCUUAAGCUCACUCUCUCAAAUAAAAGCCCCGGGGAUUCACCCAGAACCGCCUCAACCGCACAUGUUGACGGCGGGACAUCAUCAUCAUCGCCAUCGCCGUCACCAUCACCAUCACUAUCGCCGGCAUCCGCUCGGAAAGCAGUAGGAGGAGGAAGGCCAGUUCCCCCUCAAUUGGGCAACGGUCAAACCAGCAGUAAAAGGUCUUUAGCCCUCAACAAACCCAAAUCUAGAGAUGGCGUCGUCGCCGCACCUCAAAAAGGCCUAUGGAGACCCCCCGUCGAACAAUUCGCUUGCCCUCGGCGUCGUACGGAGCCACAAAGCGAACGAAGAAAAAUUGGAGAUGACUCACACAGCAAGAGCGACGAAAAGAAGAAUGAACUGCUACUACUGCAGGAGAAGCUCGAUCUCAACGAUACUUUGAUCAAGGAUUUGCAGGCUGAGGUGUUGGUGCUGAAGACCAAUUUGGAUAAGGCGCAGAGCUUGAAUGUGGACCUCCGCUUUCAGAACCAGAAGCUCAUUCAGGAUCUCGCUGCUGCUCAAGCAAAUAUUGCUGCUCUUACUGCUCGUGACCAGAGGGAUUUAGUGGCAGAUUACCAGAGUCCCAAAUUUAAAGACAUCCAGAGGCUCAUUGCCAACAAGUUGGAAAAACCAAAAGUGGAAAAAGAGGCAAAUAAUGACACUGAAACUGUUACAACAGCGGGGCUAAUACAGUCAACUUCCAAAGUUGCAGUUGUACAAGCUGAAAUUCCACCACACACCUGCCCUCCACCACCUCCACCACCACCUCCACUUCAUCCUAUAGCCAGAGCAGGAAACACCAAGAAGGCUUCAUCACUCGUAGAUUUUUAUCACCCAUUAACUAAGCGAGAGGGGAAGAAACAAUCUAUUGGACCAGGGAAUCACAAUAUGCCUGCAGUUACUAGUGCACACAGUUGCUUAGUUGGAGAAAUUCAAAAUCGAUCAGCACAUCUGUUAGCAAUAAAAGCCGACAUUGAAACAAAAGGAGACUUCAUCAAUGGUCUAAUUCAGAAAGUGCUGACUGCAGCAUAUACAGAUAUGGAAGAUGUCCUGAACUUUGUGGAUUGGCUUGAUAGAGAACUCUUAUUAUUGGCUGAUGAGCGGGCUGUGUUAAAGCAUUUCAAGUGGCCUGAGAGGAAAGCAGAUGCCAUGCGAGAAGCUGCUAUUGAAUAUCGUUGCCUUAAACUAUUAGAAAGUGAAGUUUCUUGCUAUGAGGACAAUGCUAAUAUUGUUUGUGGAGCUGCCUUGAAGAAAAUGGGUAGUUUGCAAGAUAGGUCGGAGCGGGGCAUACAGAGGUUGAUUAAGUUACGUGACUCAGUUAUGUUUUCUUACAAGGACUUGAAAAUUCCAACAGAUUGGAUGCUUGAUUCAGGGAUUGUUAGUAAGAUAAAGCUGGCUGCUAUGAAGCUGGCCAAGAUGUACAUGAAUAGAGUGAUGAUGGAGCUUGGAUCAUUUCAUAAUUCAGAAAAGGAAUCAGUACAGGAAGCUCUGCUGCUUCAGGGUGUGCAUUUUGCAUACAGGGCUCACCAGUUUGCCGGGGGGUUUGAUCCAGAAACUUUGUGUGCUUUUAAGGAGAUAAAGCAGCGCCUUCCAGGACACCUCGUGGUGUCUGGACCAUUGUUGGAUGGCAUACCAUCUUUGAGCAGGAAGAAUCUGGACCAGGUGGGAGGGGUUCUCUAGGUGCGGCAUUUGCUGGAAUAUUAUCUGUCUUAGAUAUUUGCCUCUCUUUCCAGCUUCCUUCUAUUAUUUUUUGUUAUGGGCGGUGAGACAAAGAUUUAUCUUCUUUACUUUUCAGUGGAUACAUAUACUGGAACAUUUGAAGCAUAUUCUUAGAAAUUCUGACCCUACGCUUGGAGAGGUUUUAGAUUUGGAUUUGGAUGAGAUGCAAUAUAAAAUUGUAUUGUAAUUUAUCCAAAUCCAUCCCAAUCUAAAUUCAAGACUGAAAUCAAUGCUCACGAAUGCAGCGUGAGAACUAUAUUUGAUGAUAUGCUGAUUGAUAAUUAUGAAUAUCUAGAGAAGCAAAGUUUUUUUGGUUUCCUCAUUGCUGUCCACAAAGCCUUAGCCCACUCUGGGUGGAGGAAUGUUAUGAUUGAAGAGAUGAAUGUUUUACAAGACAAUGAUAAUUGGGACCUUGGUAUCUCUUCUUUCUGACAAGUCUAUGAUUGGUUGUCGUUGGGUAAACAUUGUGAAAGUCAAUCCUGAUGGUCCUCUGACUCAUCUGAAGGCAGUGCUAAGGGGUAUACUCAGGUGUACUACUUGGAUUAUUCCAAUUUUUUUUUCUCAAUUACCAAACUUAUAUAUGUACAUUUGUUUAUUUCCUUGGCUACUAUUUGUCAUUGGUUUUUGCAUCAAUUAGAUGUGAAGAAUGUCUUUUUGAAUGGUGAUCUUAAAGAGGAGGUUUAUAUGAAGUAACCAUCUGAAUUAGCUGCUCAAGGAGAGAGUCAAAUUCUGUGUGCUAGCUCAAAUUUUACAUUGUAAUAUGAUUUCUCAAACACGUGGAUUUAUUGUUGCCCCGUUCCACCUAUGAUCCUUUAUCAUACAUGCGUGUAUUUCUUCUAUCAUGUCUAAUUCAUAUUUCAUUAUAUCA